rnacentral:rRNA from 1 species
UACGUAGGUGGCAAGCGUUGUCCGGAUCUACUGGGCGUAAAGGAUGCGUAGGCGGACAUUUAAGUCAGAUGUGAAAUACCCGAGCUUAACUUGGGUGCUGCAUUUGAAACUGGGUGUCUAGAGUGCAGGAGAGGUAAGUGGAAUUCCUAGUGUAGCGGUGAAAUGCGUAGAGAUUAGGAAGAACACCAGUGGCGAAGGCGACUUACCGGACUGUAACUGACGCUGAGGCAUGAAAGCGUGGGGAGCAAACAGG